rnacentral:rRNA from 1 species
UGGGGAAUAUUGCACAAUGGGCGCAAGCCUGAUGCAGCAACGCCGCGUGAGGGACGACGGCCUUCGGGUUGUAAACCUCUUUUAGUAGGGAAGAAGCGAAAGUGACGGUACCUGCAGAAAAAAGCACCGGCUAACUACGUGCCAGCAGCCGCGGUAAUACGUAGGGUGCGAGCGUUGUCCGGAAUUAUUGGGCGUAAAGAGCUCGUAGGCGGUCUGUCGCGUCUGCUGUGAAAACCCGAGGCUCAACCUCGGGCCUGCAGUGGGUACGGGCAGACUAGAGUGCGGUAGGGGAGAAUGGAUUCCUGGUGUAGCGGUGGAAUGCGCAGAUAUCAGGAGGAACACCGAUGGCGAAGGCAGUUCUCUGGGCCGUAACUGACGCUGAGGAGCGAAAGCGUGGGGAGCGAACAGGAUUAGAUACCCUGGUAGUCCACGCCGUAAACGUUGGGCGCUAGAUGUGGGGACCAUUCCACGGUUUCCGUGUCGCAGCUAACGCAUUAAGCGCCCCGCCUGGGGGAGUACGGCCGCAA